CUCGUAGCUUGCUAUGAGAACAAUUAGUGGCAGACGGGUGAGUAAUGCAUAGGAAUCUACCUAGUAGUAUAGGAUAGCCACUAGAAAUGGUGGGUAAUACUGUAUAACCCUGCGGGGGAAAGAUUUAUCGCUACAUGAUGAGCCUAUGUUAGAUUAGCUAGUUGGUGGGGUAAUGGCCUACCAAGGCAGUGAUCUAUAGCUGGUCUGAGAGGAUGAUCAGCCACACUGGAACUGAGACACGGUCCAGACUCCUACGGGAGGCAGCAGUGGGGAAUAUUGGACAAUGGGCGCAAGCCUGAUCCAGCUAUGCCGCGUGAGUGAGGAAGGCCUUAGGGUUGUAAAACUCUUUCAGUGGGGAAGAUAAUGACGGUACCCACAGAAGAAGUCCCGGCAAACUCCGUGCCAGCAGCCGCGGUAAUACGGAGGGGGCAAGCGUUGUUCGGAAUUAUUGGGCGUAAAGGGCAUGUAGGUGGUUUGGUAAGUUAAAGGUGAAAUGCCAGGGCUUAACCCUGGAGCUGCUUUUAAUACUGCCAGACUGGAGUCCGGGAGA
rnacentral:rRNA from 1 species